rnacentral:lncRNA from 1 species
GUAAACAUUAAGAAAAAAAUCAAUUGGGCCUAACCCAAUAAAAUAAAACAAAACCCUAAAAAAAUAAAAAGAUAAUAAUUAUAUAUAAAAAAAGAAAAAAAAAGAAAGUAGCAAGAGGAGGGAAUGAGAUGUCAGCGCCACUUGGAGAAGAGGGAGAGAGGUUUUUUUUUUCAAAUUCAAAAGCCCCCAUUCACACUUUGAUGCAUGGUAGUGGAAAAGAAAAAAAUGAAACAAACUCUCAAACGUCUUUCUCACUCAAUACCUUUUUUCCCAGAAAUAUAAACUCAAACUUUCAAGAUCUCUCUCAACCUCUUCCUUUCUCAUUCAUGUUUCAGCAAACGAAAAAGAUUUUUU